GGCCAGAGAUGGCCUCUUGUCUCGGACGCGUCCGCACAGGUGCUGCAUGGCUGUCGUCAGCUCGUGUCGUGAGAUGUUGGGUUAAGUCCCGCAACGAGCGCAACCCUCAUCUUCAGUUGCCAUCAGUUCGGCUGGGCACUCUGAAGAAACUGCCGGUGACAAGCCGGAGGAAGGUGGGGAUGACGUCAAGUCCUCAUGGCCCUUACGGGCUGGGCUACACACGUGCUACAAUGGUGGUGACAAUGGGCAGCAAACCCGCGAGGGGGAGCUAAUCUCCAAAAGCCAUCUCAGUUCGGAUUGCACUCUGCAACUCGAGUGCAUGAAGUCGGAAUCGCUAGUAAUCGUGGAUCAGCACGCCACGGUGAAUACGUUCCCGGGCCUU
rnacentral:rRNA from 1 species